rnacentral:misc_RNA from 1 species
GUGAAUCAUCGAAUUUUUGAACGCAAAUUGCGCUUCCUGGCAUCCCGGGAAGUAUGCCUGUUUGAGGGUCAUUAUUCAUCACAAAUCGGUUUAGUUACAAAUUGUGACUUUUCCGUAGUUUGCGCUCUCUUCACAUUUUUGUUUAAGAGGCUUAUAAUUGCCCUUUUUUGCGCAUUUUUCACCUUACAUAAAUUUUUUUUAUUCGUCUAUUCUUAAUGCCACCAUCUUAUUAGAUGCGAUCACAUCGUGUAGCUUCGUGUCCAUAAAAUUUUCAUGAUUUGACCUCAAAUCAGGU